rnacentral:rRNA from 1 species
UACGAAGGGGGCUAGCGUUGCUCGGAAUCACUGGGCGUAAAGGGUGCGUAGGCGGGUCUUUAAGUCAGGGGUGAAAGCCCAAGGCUCAACCUUGGAAUUGCCUUUGAUACUGAGGGCCUUGAGACCGGAAGAGGUCGGCGGAACUGCGAGUGUAGAGGUGAAAUUCGUAGAUAUUCGCAAGAACACCAGUGGCGAAGGCGGCCGACUGGUCCGGUUCUGACGCUGAGGCGCGAAAGCGUGGGGAGCAAACAGG